GAUGAACGCUAGCUACAGGCUUAACACAUGCAAGUCGAGGGACCGGCGCACGGGUGAGUAACACGUAUCCACCCCGCCCUUUACUCUGUGGUAGCCUUUCGAAAGAAAGAUAAAUACCCGAUAUAAAGGUUGGGGAUGCGUUCCAUUAGGUUGUUGGUGGGGUAAUGGCUGACCAAGCCUUCGAUGGAUAGGGGUUCUGAGAGGAAGGUCCCCCACAUUGGAACUGAGACAAGAUCCAAACUCCUACGGGAGGCAGCAGUGAGGAAUAUUGGUCAAUGGGCGGGAGCCUGAACCAGCCAAGUAGCGUGAAGGAUGAAGGCUUAUGGGUCGUAAACUUCUGUUACAUAAGAAGAGGUAUUAUAUGAAGAAGGAUCGGCUAACUCCGUGCCAGCAGCCGCGGUAAUUC
rnacentral:rRNA from 1 species